rnacentral:rRNA from 1 species
AGCGAGCGCUGGCGGCAGGCUUAACACAUGCAAGUCGAACGCCCCGCAAGGGGAGUGGCAGGCGGGUGAGUAACACGUGGGAACGUACCCUUUGGUUCGGAAUAACUUGGGGAAACUCAAGCUAAUACCGGAUAAGCCCUUAUGGGGAAAGGUUUACUGCCGAAGGAUCGGCCCGCGUCUGAUUAGCUAGUUGGUGAGGUAACGGCUCACCAAGGCGACGAUCAGUAGCUGGUCUGAGAGGAUGAUCAGCCACACUGGGACUGAGACACGGCCCAGACUCCUACGGGAGGCAGCAGUGGGGAAUAUUGGACAAUGGGGGCAACCCUGAUCCAGCCAUGCCGCGUGAGUGAUGAAGGCCUUAGGGUUGUAAAGCUCUUUUACCCGGGACGAUAAUGACUGUACCGGGAGAAUAAGCCCCGGCUAACUUCGUGCCAGCCGCCGCGGUAA